rnacentral:rRNA from 1 species
UGCGUAGGCGGAUUAAUAAGUCAGUGGUGAAAUCUUUCGGCUCAACCGAGAAACUGCCAUUAAUACUGUUAAUCUUGAGUUCGGUUGAGGUAGGCGGAAUGUGUAAUGUAGCGGUGAAAUGCUUAGAUAUUACACAGAACACCAAUUGCGUAGGCAGCUUACUAGACCGACACUGACGCUGAGGCACGAAAGCGUGGGGAGCGAACAGGAUUAGAUACCCUGGUAGUCC